AUUGAGGUUUUAUAGCAGCCCCAG
rnacentral:miRNA from 1 species